UUUAGGUGAUAGCCCUGAUUCAUUUUUAUUUAUUUAUUUAUUUUUCUUUCUAAUGUACAAUAAUAGUAGCACAUAUUGUGGGAUACAGUGUGAUUUCAGUACAUGUAUAAAAUAUGUACCAACCAAAUCAGGGCAGUUGUCAUUUCUCAUUCCCUUAUUACUUCUUUAUGUUUGGAGCCUUUAAAGUUCUUGAUAGUCACCCUUCUAUGCUGUAGAACAUUAGAACUUAUUCCUUUAAUCUAACUGUAUUUUUGUAUCUGUUUUGCAGUCUCCCUCUAUAACUGCUCCCUGCUACCCAUCCUAGUCUCUAAUAAUCACUACUAUACUCUCUUCUACUUUGAGACCAACUUUUUUCAGCUUCCACACAUGUGGGUCUACUUCCCCUUCUGAAAAAGAUCAUACUGUCUUUGUCUUUCUGUGUCUGGUUUAUCUCACUUAACAGAAGGUCCUCUAGUUUCAUCCUUUCUUCCACAAAAUUUAUUAUUUUUAUGGCUCAAUAAUAUGCCACUGUGCAUAUACACUAUUUUCUUCGUACAUUCAGACACUGAUGGGCACGAAGGUUGAUUCCAUAUCAUGGUUAAUGUGAAAAGUGCUGCAAUCAACAUGACUGUCUACUUUUAGAUUAAAAAAACCCUGUUUCUUUUUCUCAUUUUCUACCUCCCAUCUUGUCGGCUGUAGCUAUACUUUUACAAUGUCAAGGUUGAAGAUAUUUACACUCUGCCUGCAAUCAUAGAAAUAUGUGUCUGCCAUUAAUAGUAUGUUUACAGAGUCUGAAAGUUGAAAAUUAACAACCCAAAUUUUUGAGAUAUACUUUGCAUAUUGUUUUAUUUUUAUUGUAAUUAUUCAAUCAUAGUUACAAAAAGAAUGGGUUUCACUGUGGCAUGUCUGUAUAUGCAUCUAUUGUGUUUUUAUUAUAUGCACUCUGCUUACUACCCUAUCUUGUCCUCUCUCUUUCCCACUCUCCCCUCGGUUCCCUUCUUUUUCCACUUUUUAUUGUUAUUAUUAUUUAGUUUUUAUGUAUGGGAGAAAACAUGUAACAUGUUUCUGGGUCUGGCUAUUUUCUCUUAACAUGCUGUUCAGUGCCAUCCAUUUUCUUGCAAAUGACUUGAUCUCAUUCUUCUUUAUAGCUGGAUAAAAUUCUACAGUGUAUAAAUACCAUGUGUUUUCAAUCCAUUCAUUUGCUACCAGGUACCUAGGCUGAUUCCAUAUCUUAGUUAUUGUGAAAAAUGCUUCAGCAUAUGUAAAUACGGGCAUGCUUCAUAUAUGCCCAGGAGUGAUAUAGGAUGAAUAUCCAAUGGUAGAUCUUCUCUAGAAUUUUCAGGAAUCUCUAAAUUGUUUUACAUAGUGACUGUGCUAAAUUAUAUUCACACCAGUGAUAUAUAAGGGUUUCUUUGCCUCCAAAUCCUCUCCAGUAUGAGAGUUUUAAAAUUUUUUAUUACUAUUAUGACAGAGAUAAGAUGGAAUCUCAAUUAAGUUUUGAUUUGCAUUUCUGAUGGCCAAGUGUGUUG
rnacentral:lncRNA from 1 species